GGGAGUUAGCUCUGGCGCGAGACGCGACUUCCCCCAGACCACUUGCUCUGUUAAAAGGAGAACUCACGAAGUUAUUUGCUUCACAAAAGUUAUUCGAUGCAGCAGACCAUGAAGCCAUUCAAGAGAAAAAAAACUAAAAGCAGAACUCAAUAUUCUGGCAGCAACCCAGGCUUCCCCGCAUUGUGAGUUGACUACUGUCAUGAUUUCCUCAUGAGUUUACAGGCGAAGGACUUGAUAUGAGAAUUGCCUGCAUUCUUCUGCCAGUACUACACAGAGAGCAGGCAGCAAAGCCCAUGGGGCAGAGGGAGCCAGAGAAAUCGUGCGGAGGUGGCGGGAGGUAGCCAAGGAGAGGCAUGGCUUUCUGCACGGCUGGCCUGAACGACUUGACCAGGUGGGGAUCAAGAAAGCAUAGAAGAACAGACAGAGAUGAGAACAUGGCACAUGGCAAGGCGACAGUUUUCCAUGGGAAGGCAUGCCUGCGGACUACCUGGUGACCACUGCAGAGGGUCCCAGAGGCUUGCAUGCUUUCUGUCUGCUCAGUUUGAUGCCAGGUGCACCACGGUGUCCACGUCCUCUGCAGGAUGGGAAGCCGUUGAGCCGCCAAGGCAAAUGUCAGGAGGUCUUCUCCCACCAGGCUUUUCCUCAGAGGACUUUCCAAGGACUGUAUCUCUGAACACUUUUGAAAUUUCUUUCAUGCAAGGAACAUCCAGAGGGUGUUUGCCUUGCUCAAGAACCUGGUAAUGGAAGAUUACAUUGCUGGGGCUCCACCAGUUCUCCAUGAAGCCAGAUUACCAGUGCUUGUGCUGACUGAAAGAAAGGAAGCUUUUCUGUCACUGAGGAAGGAAAAAUUCCUACUCUGUUAGAAGCUUGUGAAACUGCACUGAGUACAACCCAUUCACUGCAUUAUGUAUUCAGAGACUCAUUUUCUGCAUGCUCAUGUUUGGACCCCGUUGACUAACACUACAAAAUCCUGUUAACCCCAAAGUUUGAGUGGAGCUUUGUGAGGCCAUUAUUCAGAAACAGAUCCCAGCCUAUUUUUAGGACUCAUCUUUUGUUAAUGUCAUGUCUCCAUAGAGCAAAGAAAAAAUCCAUGGAGCAAUCUUCCAAUGGGUUCAUCCUUCAGGAGCAUGAGCUCAACAACGGGUUUAGAAUUGCUCGUUUUGU
rnacentral:lncRNA from 1 species